AGAUCUAUUUUUAGCUUUGUAGGAUUUAAAGUCAAUGGGGAAGUAUAUAACUUGGAAUUCCCAACAUUCCGCACAACACCUACAAUGUUAGUGCAAGAUUCCGUUUGAAAAAUGUAAGUAAACCUCAUCAAAAUCUGACUAGCAGUUAUUAAAGUACGAUGAUCCAUAUAAUUUUACAGACAUGAUUCAUAGAAGAAAACAAUAAAAGACAUAUGGGUGGACAAACAGAAAUACCACAAGAUGGAAGGUUUAACAGCUCAACACUAUUUGGAAUGUGGUACUGAAGACUGUGGAAAAAACUGUCAGUUUUACUGCAAUGAUUGUCACCGACCAAUGUGUGAACAAUGCAGAGAUGAACAUAAAAAGAGUUCAGAAACUAAGAACCAUGAAGUAGUCUCCUUCCUAUAGCAUAAACGUCAUCUUCCUGUGGACAAAUGCACGCUCCAUCCAACUCGAAAUGCAGAUAUUCUAUGCAAUGAAUGCAACAUUCCUCUGUGUUCAAAGUGCACAACCAUGGAAAAACACUUCGGACAUAAAUUUGUUGAUAUGGAGGACAUUGAUGCAGAAAAGUUUGCAUUAUUUGUCUAGAUGAAAUCUCAAAAAUCCAACAAUAUUUCCUUCCAACAUCACAAGGUUUAAAAAUGGAAACAGCUGAAGAUGGCAAAGAAGUAAAGAAAAUCAUGGAUGGUAUCAGAAACGGCAUAAAGGCAGAAGCAGAGUCUCUGAAAGACCUGUUAGAUAAGGUGACAUCAGACAAAUUGGAACAAGCCAAUACCAUAGAAUAGUCAUUACUUAAAGUGUUUAAACAAGAGGAAAAAACAUUCGAUGAUUACAAUAAGUACCUUGAAAAACUUUUAAAAGAGUUUUAUGGCUACCUCCCUCUAAACAAUUUCAAAGUUUUAUUAUCUGCCAAUUUUGAAAACUCGAAAAUCCGAUCUAUUCCAGAGACUACUAAACCAGUCCCACCAGUGUUUACUGCUGGUCAAUUCACCUAUGAUGAUGUCAGCAAGUUACUUGGAAAUAUAGAUGUCCCAAACAUUAAACCUGAUAAAAGGAAAAUAAAAUCCAUGGCUACUCCAUCAACACAGCUGAAACCUACAGGGAAAGAAAUGUUCGAGCAAGAUAGAAAGAAAUCUGAUGUAACACAAAUAUUGUCUCUGUCUUCCUCUGUCACCAAGGUCAGUGAGUACACAGUUUCAGGUGUUAAGAGUGUAUAUCAUAUAUCACUAUGUAAAUCAGGCAUACUCUUGGGCCAGUGGCGAAAAUGGUAACCUUAUCCAAACAGAUUUACAUGGGAAUCAGCUACAGAAGAUACGAACCAGUGGUAGGUCUGAAGGCUACCACACAGUCACACAGGACGGGGAUCUGAUCUAUACAGACAGAGAAAACAAAGUCAUCAACUGGAUAACAGAGAAUAAAACGAUCACUGAAUUCAUUAGAACAGGAGACUGGGAACCAAUCAGCAUACACUCCUCCUGCAUCAACGGGGACAUACUGGUGGGGAUGAGAAAGGAUGGAGAGGCUAAAGUCACCAGGUAUAACAAGACAGGAGAAGAGGUACAUAACAUAUUGUUGAACAACAAAGGACAGGAACUGUUUAGUGAUCCACGCUACAUCACAGAAAACAUUAAUGGUGAUAUCUGUACAUCAGACUUGGACAAACGAAUUGUAGUGGUGGUGAAUAAAUCAGGACACUACAGGUUCUCCUACCCAGAUCCGGUGUUGGAGUUGUUAUGGUUUUGUCCCUUGGGUAUUUGUACCAAUCUCCUCGGCCACAUCAUUGUUUGUGACAGUUAUUUUAUGAAUACGAAAGUUGACAUCUUAGAUCAGGACGGUCAGUUUUUGUCUCGACUUACAACACAACAAGGGGUAGAGUAUCCCCGUGGUGUAUGUGUUGAUGAUGAGAACAAUCUCCAUGUGGGACAACAUAACACCAACACGGUGUCAGUGUACAAGUAUCUACAGUGAUUCUCUCUAUGGAUGUCAAACAUCAGAUAUCAAAUCUGAAUAUUGUUUACUUACCUUUUUAGCAUAAAAAUACAUUAUAUGAAUGAGCUUAUUCUCUUACACUGUAAAUUCUAAAGCCUCCCAGACUAUAUUAUAUAACAGUAUCAUAAAUGUAUACUUUUUCUGACUAUUUUUUAAAUGCAACAUUUUUUUUUGCAUACAUGUACCUCUAUAUACAUAUUGUAUGAUUUUUUUUUUCAGUUUUGAGAUUAUAUUUGUCAUAAAAAGUUUCUAAAUGACAUUAUGUUUAAAGUAAACUAGUUGCUUUGUU
rnacentral:sRNA from 1 species